rnacentral:rRNA from 1 species
GACGAACGCUGGCGGCGUGCUUAACACAUGCAAGUCGAACGGAAAGGCCCUGCUUUUGUGGGGUGCUCGAGUGGCGAACGGGUGAGUAACACGUGAGUAACCUGCCCUUGUCUUUGGGAUAACUUCAGGAAACUGGGGCUAAUACCGGAUAGGAUCUCCUGCUGCAUGGUGGGGGUUGGAACGUUGCGGCGGUUGGGGAUGGACUCGCGGCUUAUCAGCUUGUUGGUGGGGUAGUUGCUUACCAAGUCUUUGACGGGUAGCCGGCCUGAGAGGGUGACCGGCCACAUGAGGACUGAGAUACGGCCCAGACUCCUACGGGAGGCAGCAGGGGGGAAUAUGGCACAAUGGGCGGAAGCCUGAGGCAGCAACGCCGCGUGCGGGAUGACGGCCUUCGGGUUGUAAACCGCUGUCGCCUGUGACGAAGCGUGAGUGACGGUAAUGGGUAAAGAAGCACCGGCUAACUACGUG